rnacentral:lncRNA from 1 species
GGAAUGGUCAAGAAAGGCCUCUCUGAAGAGAUGUCAAUUGAAAAGAUACCUGAUCUCUAAUUUGGGAAGUAAGCUUUUCAAUAGCUCCUGUAAAAUGGUCAAGCCUUUGUUUGUAAACUUUAGAUGCCUUUUUUAAAGCUACAGUUUUUUGCUUACUUGCUUCUUUCAUCACUAUAGCCUCAUUCUUAUUCAUUCUUGAUUGCAGGUUCCACUUGGCUAUCUUGGUUUCUAAGCUCUAAAAAAAAAAAAUUAGCAACAAUUAAAUUAUUUCAGAACUCCAAUGUUUAUGUAAACAUUGUAAAAAUAUGUACAUAACUGAUAUGGUUUGUGUAUUACUCCAUUCUCACACUGCCAUAAAGAAAUACCCUAGACUGAGUAAUUUAUAAAGGAAAGAAGUUUAAUUGACUCACAGUUCCACAUGGCUGGGAAGAUCUCAGGAAACUUACAAUCAUUGUAGAAGGCAGAGGAAGAAAGGACCUUCUUCACAUGGCGACAGGAGACAGAAGAGUGAGGAGCAAAGGGGGAAGAGCCCCUUAUAAAACCAUCAGGUCUCACGAGAACUCACACACUAUCAUGAGAACAGCAUAGGGAAAACCACCCCCAUGAUCCAAUCACCUCCCACCAGGUCUCUCCCUAGACAUGUGGAGAUUAUAAGGAUUACAAUUCAAAAUGAGAUUUGGGUGGGGACAGAGCCAAACCAUAGCAUUCUGCCCCUUGCCCCUCCUAAAUCUCAUGUCUUCACAUUUCAAAACACAAUCAUGCCUUUCCAACAGUCCUCCAAAGUCUUACUUCAUUCCAGCAUUAACCCAAAAGCCCAAGUCUAAAGUCUCAUCUGAGACAAGGCAAGUCCCUUCUGCCUAGGAGCCAGUAAAAUAAAAAGCAAGUUAAUUACUUCCAAGAAACAAUGGGGGCACAGGUAUUAGGUAAAUGUUCCCAUUCCAAAUGAAAGAAAUUGGCCAAAAAAACGGGGGCUACAGGACCCAUGGAAGUCCAAAAUCCAGCAGGGCAGUCAUUAAAUCUUAAAUCUCCUAAAUAAUCUCCCUUGACUCCAUGUUUCACAUCUAGGUCAUGCUGAUGCAAGGAGUGGGCUCCCAUGGUCUUUGGCAGCUCCAGCCUUAUGGCCUGCAGGGUACAGCCCCCUUCCUAGCUGCUUUCCCAGGCUGGCAUUGAGUAUCUGUGGCUCUUCCAGACACAUGGUGCAAGCUGUCAAUGGAUCUACCAUUCUGGGGUCUGGAGGACUUGUGGCCCUCUUCUCACAGCUCCACUAGGCAGUGCUCCAAUGGGACUCUAUGUGGGGUCUCCAACCCCAUAUUUCUCUUCCUCACUGCCCCAGCAGAGGUUCCCCAUAAGGGCUUCACCCCUGCAGCAAACUUCUGCCUGGACAUCCAGGCACUUCCACACAUCCCCUGAAAUCUAGGCAGAGGUUCCCAAGCCUCAAUUCUUGACUUGUGUGCACCCACAGGCCCAACACCACAUGGAAGUCGCCAAGGCUUGGGGCAUCCACCCUCUGAAGAAAUGGCCUGAGCUAUGCAUUGGCCCCUUUUAGCCACAACUAGAAUGCAGGGCACCAAGUCCCAAGACUGUACAAAGCAGCAAGGUUCUGGGCCCAGCCCACAAAACCACUUUUUCCUCCUAGGCCUCUGGGCCAGUGAUGGGAGGGACUGCCAUGAAGACCUCUGACAUACCCCAGAAACAUUUUCCCCAUUAAUAUUCGGCUUCUCAUUAUUUAUGCCAAUUUAUGCAGACCACUUGAAUUUCUCCCCAGAAAAUGGGUGUUUCUUUUCUAUCGCAUGGGCAGGCUGCAAAUUUUCCAAACUUUUAUGCUCUGUUUCCCUUUUAAAUGUAUGUUCCAAUUUCAAACCUUCUCUCUGUGAAUGCAUAAAACUGAAAGCUUUCAGAAUCAACCAGGUCAUAUCUUGAAUGUUUUUCUGCUUAGAAAUUUCUUCUACCAGAUACCCUAAAUCAUCUCUCUCAAGUUCAAAGUUCACAGAUCUCUAGGGCAGUGGCAAAAUACCGUCAGUCUCUUUGCUAAAGCAUAGCAAGAGUCACCUUUAUUCCAGUUCCCAAGAAGUUCCUCAUCUCUAUCUGAGACCACCUCAGCCAGGACUUCAUUGUCCAUAUCACUAUCAGCAUUUUGCUCAACACCAUUCAACAAGCCUCUAGGAAGUUCCAAGCUCUCCCACAUCUUCCUGUCUUCUUCUGAGCUGUCCAAACUGAUCUAACCUCUGCCCAUUACUUAGUUCCAAAGUCAUUUCCACAUUUUCGGGCAUCUUUAUAGCAAUACCCCACUCUCUGCAGUACCAAUUAACUGUAUUAAUCCAUUCUCACGCUGCUAUAAAGAAAUACCUGAGACUGGGUGAUUUACAAAGGGACAAGUUUUAAUUGACUCACAGUUCCACAUGGCUAGGGAGGCCUCAGGAAACUUCAAUCGUG